GCCAGCACUGGGCAGCUUAAGCCAUCCUCAGCAUCCAACUGGCCUCUUUACUGACACUCCUGCCUAGCAACCUCCACUGUCCCUUGGAUCUCUGGCUGAGCUUAAAGUGUUGGGUUAAAAGAAAAUAAGCAAUAAGAUAUAUAUUAACACCUCCCAUGGAAGGUAAACGGAUUGAUUCAGCUGUGACCACCUCCCGAAAGCCAUGUUGGCAACGAUUCUCAUAUCACAGGGAUUUCUAUGUUUAGCUGUUUACCCACCCAUUCGGCAAAUAGCAGACGCUGACUGUGCUAGACACUGGGAGAAUGACCAAUGGAGAAAGAAGACCCACGUUGACGUCGAGCUAUAAAGGAAAGAGACAAACAUAUAAACAGGAGACUAUUGUAUGAUGUGAAAUGUCUGAGGCUUGGUGUAGUUGCUUCGUUUUUGUAGCUCUUCUUAUUCAAGAAAUGGGUAUAAAUUCCAGAGAUGCCAAACCUUGAAUUCAACUGAAAUCAACCCCCAAGUAAAGGAGAAGAUGAUCAGGAUGGCUGGAGUUUGAACCUAGUCAACUGGCUGGCCUUCUCUGCCUCUCCUGUCUCCACUGCAGGACCUGACCAGGACACCACUCCUGAGAUUUACCUACCACAGUUGUAGUCACAUGCAAACGAAGAGGCUGGAUCUGGGCAUCUCCUGCAGUGCAUGUGGACUGUGCAGAGAGAAGUAGUCCCCUGGAGUGGGACACUUAGAGCAGAGGGCACCCAGAACCAGGAACCAUGAGAGAGGAGUCUCAAAAUAGGACACAAAGGGAGUGCUUCACCACGUCACAGUGCACAUUGCAGCUAAGCCUCCGGCUCUGCUGGGGUCAGGCCAACAUGGAAAGAACCCAGGGACACCCACUCUUCCUGGGCACAGCUGAGAAGAGAUUAGGAGCCAGAGAAAGGCCUCCAGGAAACCCAGGGCAGACCAGUAAGAAUCCAGAAGCCCAGUCCAAACCGAGGCAGAAAGAGGACUGACGUGUCUAACACCUGGCCUUCGCUACCUCCGAAGAGAGACAGACCAAGAACAAAUGAACCAAGAAGGUGAAAUGGUUAAAUGUGGCGCCUAAGCCUUUCUUUUCCAGGAACUGACAUAACUUCUGUCUGUCUGCCUACACGGAGUUGUGGUUAGGAACACAUUUCUGGGGGAUUGGUUUGGUUUCAAUGUUUUCCAGCAUCUGGUAAAAGCAGAAUUAUGAAAGUUAAGUAUUCAAAGAUUGUUGUUUGGGUUUUGAAACAGAAACAUUUUGAAAUACUGAUAUGUUUUGCUUUCAUAGUAUUAUUUUACUUAAAGAGAUAUGCUUGAAGUAAAACCAAAUUCUCAGCUACUAACAUAAACACUUUAGUCUUCCUUGUUGCCCAAAAGCCAGUUUGAGAUUCGGCAAUUUUAGGAGAGAAGGAGGGAGAGACAGAGGAAGGACACAUCACAGAUAAAAAGGAAGUUUGAGACAGUUGUGCCUGUUCUUAUUGAAUGUUUUAGGUGAUUCCUAUAUCCCUUUUCUUCCUUCAGCUGGGGCGAUCUUUCCAGAAAAUGCGGCCCACCAGGAGAGGUUAGAAUUUAUCCAGAGCAGCUAUUUGCACUUGGUUUUUGACAUCUUGAAGUAAUGUGUUUGUCUCAGUGCUUUUCUUAUUUAUACAUAAAUAAUCUUACUAUCUAUGCUUUAUGCUUUCUUACUAGCAGGUAGAUCUAAUGUGGUUCCAUUUACUGGAUUCUGAGAGAAACAUAGACAUUGAAAUGGGGACUCUAGACUCCUUCCUCUGGCCAAAAUGCAGUAACAGGGGCCAGAUUUGUGUUCUUGCCUGAAACAGUAACAACAACAAAAGAUGAGACUUAAAAAAAAAAGUUUCAAAACAUGGAUUUAGGCAACGAAGGACAAUGAGUGAUCCCUAAGCUACUGCCCCAUCUCGUGGCCUUGAGACAGUUUCCAGGCUGUGGUGCAGAGUGGAGAACAGAGGCAAAGCCUGGUAGAUCCCUGACUUGAGGAGACAGAGGUGAGAGUCAGGAGAUCAAGGCAGCUAGAGUUCAUGGGAAUCAGCACCAGAGAAGAGAGAGCUCCAUAAAGAGAGGACUUGGGAGAUCUGCAGAGGAUCCUUGAAUAUUCAUCAGAGGACCUACUGACCAGCACAUUCAUGCGCAGGCGUCAUCAGAGACAAGGGAGAGAGCCACUUGAAAGGAUUGGAGGUUUACAGUGCUCACUCAGAGCAAGGAAUCGUGCUUAUUCCCACCAGCCAGACCAGAAAACCUCAUAGUUCAUUGACAUCAGUAGUGUUAAACUAAGUUAAGCCUAAAGCUACCUCCUUACAUAUUUUAAGUUCAGGCUAAAUGUUUUUCCAUACACAGAGAACUGUAGCCUAACUGGACAUGUGACCAGAUUGUAAGGCACUCCUGUAACAAGUAGUCAAGCCUCAGCCAAUUAUAGCAGCCGAAUUUUGGCCACUCAAAGGCAGCCAACUGUUGAAACCAUGUUUAACUAAGUGCCAAACUGUCGCCAGCCAGCUGUUUCUGUGCUUCACCUCUAUUUUCUGUAAGUCACUGCCCUUUUACUGUCCAUAAAUGUUAUCCGGCCACAUGGUGGCCCUGGAGUUGCGCUGCUGGUUCUGGGGGAUGCCCAAUUCAUGAAUCAUUCUUUGCUCAAUUAAACUCUGCUCAAUUUAA